rnacentral:lncRNA from 10 species
UUUUGGCACCAGGGACUGGUUUUGUGCAAGACAAAUUUUCCAUGGAUCAGGAUUGGGGAAGGAUUGGUUUUGGGAUGAUUCAAGUGCAUCACAUUUAUCAUUAGAUUUUGAUAAGGAGCGCACAACCUAGAUCCCUCGCAUGCGCAGUUCACAAUAGGGUUCUCCCUCCUAUGAGAAUCCAAUGCUGCUGCAGAUCUGACAGGAGGCGGUAAUGCUAGCUCAGCCUCUGCUCACUUCCUGCUGUGCAGCCUGGUUCCUAACAGGUUCCUGACAGGACCAGUACCAGUCUGUGGCCCAGGGGUUGGGGACCUCUGCUCUAAGGGAAGGAGCAGGCCUUGACAGAGACCCUGGGUCAGGAGUCAGAGGGUGAGGUUCUACUCUGUGUCCUUCGGCCCAAGGCCCUUUGGGUCCAACCUAUGGACUGGGGUCUGACACUCCUGUCAUCCCAGAAGGGAGGUGGAGGGGUCCGUGGGUCUCAAGCCACAGGGCUGUGGGUCUCAGAGCUGAGGCUGGGGCAGCAUACCCUGGAGGGAGGUCAAGGGUGCAGGUGAGGGGCCUCAGAUUCCAGUGCAGUUGGUGGGGACCAGGCUUGGUGAUUCACGCCCUCCCUAGGUCAUUUUGAAGACCUCAGGACUGUGUUAACAGAAAUGGUAGGGUCCCCAGACCCCCUAUCCCCUUGCCAGUGGUCAGAUGCCAGCCUUCUCACCCUGUGCUGCACCUCGCUGGUCUGAAGUCUAGAGGGACGCCUGGGCCUCCCCUGUGAUCUGUGGCCCCCAGGUGCCCUCUGCUGCCCAAGGGACACCCCUGCUGCCAGGACCAGAGGAGGGGCCUAUGCUCUGCUCCUCUGCAGUGUUUUUGACCCCAUAUGAACUUGGGGCCCGGAAGUUCUCCGCAAGGUCUGGCCCUGUUCUCCCCUCCCGGAAAGCUCCUUUGCCUUAGCCCUACCACCAGAAGACACGGUCUACUCAGUCAACUCUUUCCCAGAGGGACAGGGUGAAUGGCCAGUGGGGGGCAGGCAGGAGAUUCUAGAACUCAUAAAAAUGGGUUGCUUCCCAGCUUUGCCCAACACUGGCUUUGUAACUUUGGGCAAGCCCUCAGACUUCUUGGAGCCUUAUUUCCUAACCCAUAACCUGGGAUGAUAAUUUUUGCCAUCAAGCAGAAUGUAAGGAUUGAGAUAAAAGGAAUAAAUUGCCCAGCACUGGGACUAGCAUGCAGUAGGUGCUCCAAUUAAUGACACUUUCCUCUUCUCAGGGGGUAAACCCUCAUCCCCCG